AAGGUUGGGGAUAACAUUUGGAAACAGAUGCUAAUACCGAAUAAAACUUAGUAUCGCAUGAUACCAGGUUAAAAGGCGCUACGGCGUCACCUAGAGAUGGAUCCGCGGUGCAUUAGUUAGUUGGUGGGGUAAAGGCUUACCAAGACAAUGAUGCAUAGCCGAGUUGAGAGACUGAUCGGCCACAUUGGGACUGAGACACGGCCCAAACUCCUACGGGAGGCUGCAGUAGGGAAUCUUCCACAAUGGGCGAAAGCCUGAUGGAGCAACGCCGCGUGUGUGAUGAAGGCUUUCGGGUCGUAAAGCACUGUUGUAUGGGGAAGAAACAGCCUAGGAGUAGGGGAAAUGAACUUUUGGUUUUGGACGGGUACCCAAUCCCAGAAAAAGGGGACGGGC
rnacentral:rRNA from 1 species